rnacentral:rRNA from 2 species
GGUUGCGAUCAUACCAGCACUAAUGCACCGGAUCCCAUCAGAACUCCGCAGUUAAGCGUGCUUGGGCGAGAGUAGUACUAGGAUGGGUGACCCCCUGGGAAGUCUCGUGUUGCAACCC